CAGUAGCCACGGUAAUACGGAGGGCGCGAGCGUUACCCGGAUUUACUGGGCGUAAAGGGCGUGUAGGCGGCCUGGGGCGUCCCAUGUGAAAGGCCACGGCUCAACCGUGGAGGAGCGUGGGAUACGCUCAGGCUAGAGGGUGGGAGAGGGUGGUGGAAUUCCCGGAGUAGCGGUGAAAUGCGCAGAUACCGGGAGGAACGCCGAUGGCGAAGGCAGCCACCUGGUCCACUUCUGACGCUGAGGCGCGAAAGCGUGGGGAGCAAACCGGAUUAGAUACCCGAGUAGUCCCUGUCUCUUAUAC
rnacentral:rRNA from 1 species